rnacentral:rRNA from 1 species
AUUGAACGCUGGCGGUGUGCCUAACACAUGCAAGUCGAGCGAUGAAGCUCCUUCGGGAGUGGAUUAGCGGCGGACGGGUGAGUAACACGUGGGUAACCUGCCUCAUAGAGAGGGAUAGCCUUCCGAAAGGAAGAUUAAUACCUCAUAAGAUUGUAGUUUCACAUGAAACGGCAAUAAAAGGAGCAAUCCGCUAUGAGAUGGACCCGCGUCGCAUUAGCUAGUUGGUAAGGUAAUGGCUUACCAAGGCGACGAUGCGUAGCCGACCUGAGAGGGUGAUCGGCCACAUUGGGACUGAGACACGGCCCAGACUCCUACGGGAGGCAGCAGUGGGGAAUAUUGCACAAUGGGGGAAACCCUGAUGCAGCAACGCCGCGUGAGUGAUGACGGUCUUCGGAUUGUAAAACUCUGUCUUUGGGGACGAUAAUGACGGUACCCAAGGAGGAAGCCACGGCUAACUACGUGCCAGCCGCCGCAGUAAAAC